rnacentral:rRNA from 1 species
UACGGAGGGCGCAAGCGUUAAUCGGAAUUACUGGGCGUAAAGCGCACGCAGGCGGUCUGUCAAGUCGGAUGUGAAAUCCCCGGGCUCAACCUGGGAACUGCAUUCGAAACUGGCAGGCUAGAGUCUUGUAGAGGGGGGUAGAAUUCCAGGUGUAGCGGUGAAAUGCGUAGAUAUCUGGAGGAAUACCGGUGGCGAAGGCGGCCCCCUGGACAAAGACUGACGCUCAGGCGCGAAAGCGGGGGGAGCAAACAGGAUUAGAUACCCUGGUAGUCCACGCCGUAAACGAUGUAGACUUGGAGGUUGUGCCCUUGAGGCGUGGCUUCCGGAGCUAACGCGUUAAGUCGACCGCCUGGGGAGUACGGCCGCAAGGUUAAA